GCCUGAGUGGCUCAAUCGGUUAAGCAUCCGACUUCAGCUCGGGUCAUGAUCUCUUGAUCCGUGGGUUCUAGCCCCACGUCAGGCU
rnacentral:tRNA from 1 species